rnacentral:tRNA from 1 species
UCCUCGGUAGCUCAAUGGUAGAGCACUCGGCUGUUAACCGAGUAGUUGCAGGUUCGAGUCCUGCCCGGGGAGCCA